AACUGUAAAGCCAAACUUGACUUCCUCGUCUGCCUUGCUAUUUUUUUGUUUUGUCAUUCCUGACAGGUUGUAUGCUCAAACAGAUGCCUUUCCCCGAUGACUCAAAGCCGGUUCUUGGACGAGUUUCUUCCCACAUUCUCUCUGGGUAGUCAGUCAUGAAUCAUAUUAUGGGACCCCUAACCUAACUCUAACCCAGGGCGGUUCCCUCCCCUGGGCGCCAAGGCUCUCUGGUUCCCUUGCUUCUGCCCAGGGUUGUUCGCCCCGCACGGGCAGGCCUCUGCAGAACGAACAGCCCAGCCUGUGUGCAGUGCGGCCAGCCCCGGCUUUCUCGAUUUUUUUAUUUUAUUUAUUUAUUUUUUCUAACACAACGUGAUGAUGCAGGGAGCCAGAAAACUCGGUUCCCUGCAAAAUCUUAGAGCAUGAGAAAACAUCAAAACCCAGCGCCGCCGCCGAUGGCCGGCAGCUCGAAUCCGAACGAGAAGGUUGGGCACAAGCCAAAGGCAAACCCUCCUCGGGCGCGGGCCGGUUCCUGCAGCCCCGGAAGGCCGCAGACACAGAGCCGCCCUGAGUCCGUGAGUGGCCGCUGGGAACAAGGCCGCCGCGCUCGGCAGAAAACGAAAGUCGGCUCCGGGGCCCAGUGGGGCCAGGCCGAGGCGCCGCCGGCUCGGUCCCAUCGCGUCCAGACGCGAAGUCUCCCGGGGCCCUGCAACCAGGACGCCGCCGCGCAGGACGAAGCCAGGUCGGUCCAGCGGACGGCGGCGGCGCGCGGCCCGCCACUCCCGAGGAGCCCGGAGGCAGGAGCGGGAAGGCCGCCCGCUUGCGACACCGACACCGCAGCUCGGGGCCCAGAGCCCGGCCGGGAAGUAGGGCCGCCCGCGCGCGGAGUGGAACGCCUGCCGUGGCGCGGAGUGAGACGCCGGGUGUAGUGCGGCACAGCGCGCUCGUAUAUAAGCGCGCUGCUUCUGUGGGCCACCGGCAAAGCUGAAGUUCGGGUAUGUUUGCUGUCGGGCUCCCCUUUCUAUGACCUUGAAGGUCUGUGCAUCAUCUGUGUGCUCCAGUGGUCCUGCGGCCGCCCAGCUGGAGCCCUUGGUCCCGGAGGCACUUGCGUGGGCACGGGGUGUCCCAAGAGCGUGGCGACUUCAGCCUCGGGGAAGCCCUGGGCCUGGGGUUCCAAGCAUGACUCACCCACUUCCAGGGUGCAUGUUUUGCCAGCGUCUGUUCCACGUGGCUUGGUCCCAUUUGUCCCCUCAUGCUUCACAGCAGGUGCUAGCAGGUUGGCUGGAGUUGCUCGGUGCUCCCUUACCAAACUGAAAUGCUGUCCAUCAGGGUGGUGAAGAGGAACUGGAAUGAGGACCAUGCAGAUGAAACAUGAGCUCCACAAAGGGGAAGAGGACUCGAGAAGAAGCACGCGGUGGUAGUGUGGUGGCCGUCCUGAGCACAGAGAGAAUGCAGACAUGCCAGCCUUAGAACUGUGGCGAUCCACAGCAGUCUGGGUAGUAGACAGGAACAGAAAUCACACCCACGCUGCUCCCUCCUGUGGCUUUGGAAUCUACCUUCCUGAAAUACUAGCUCCCGUUUGGUAUCACUGUUUAUAGCUGACAUGAAUGAAUACAAGAUGAUUCAUUCAGUGAGAAUUUGGAUGCUGGUGGAAAUCCAGGCCUCCAGUGAACUCGUUGGUACAGAUGGAUUAAACCAGAGAAGUAGAAUGUAGCAUGGACAUUGUUGCAAAGGAGUAAUUUGAAAAAGGGAAGAAGAAGAAAAAAAAGAUGCAAGGAUUGAGCCGCCAUUUGACUUCCUUCCUUGGGCUCGGUACAAAAGCUAAUAAAUCCACAGGGAUAACUUGAAACAAAACCCCUG